GCGUCAAAACGAAUGGCAGUGCCAUGCAUGGAGAAUCAAAGCGCAGAAGAGACACUGCCGAGAAGAAAGUCAACAAAACAGUCUUUUGAUGACAUCUGUGCCCUUGGUGGAGAGGACUCCAAAAGCCUGAAGGAACACGAGGAAUGGCUUCUCAAGGAGAUGAAAAAGCAAAACCCUGAUGAAGCGCAAGUCGCAACUCGUAUGGAUGCCACAUUUAAGAAGAGAGCAGCAACAUUGGCAUCAUGCCCAUCAAUCUUAUCUGUGCGGCAGCAGUUCCCGUACCUCAUGGACACGACCAGGUUUUUUCAAGAGUAUCAAAGGAUGCAUCACGAGGACCCUCUUCACUGCACAUCACGUGGGCUCCAA